GGAGAGGUGGCAGAGUGGUUGAAUGUACCUGACUCGAAAUCAGGCGUAGGGUAACACCUAUCGGGGGUUCGAAUCCCCCCCUCUCCGCCA
rnacentral:tRNA from 2 species